UGGGGAAUAUUGGACAAUGGGCGAAAGCCUGAUCCAGCCAUGCCGCGUGUGUGAAGAAGGUCUUCGGAUUGUAAAGCACUUUAAGUUGGGAGGAAGGGCAGUAAGCGAAUACCUGGCUGUUUUGACGUUACCGACAGAAUAAGCACCGGCUAACUCUGUGCCAGCAGCCGCGGUAAUACAGAGGGUGCAAGCGUUAAUCGGAAUUACUGGGCGUAAAGCGCGCGUAGGUGGUUCGUGAAGUUGAAUGUGAAAGCCCCGGGCUCAACCUGGGGACCGGCUCCAGAACUUGCGAGCUAGGGGAGGGCCGGGGGUGGUUGAAUUUCCGGUGUAGCUGUUAAAUGCGUAGGUAUAGGGAGGAACACCAGUGGCGGAGGCGACCACCUGGGCUCAUAAUGACCCUGAGGUGCGAAAGCGUGGGGAGCAAACAGG
rnacentral:rRNA from 1 species